GACGGAGGGGGCUAGCGUUGUUCGGAAUUACUGGGCGUAAAGAGCACGUAGGCGGCGGUGCAAGUUGGGGGUGAAAUCCCGGGGCUCAACCCUGGAAUUGCCUCCAAAACUGUGCUGCUUGAGUUCGGAAGAGGAGAGUGGAAUUCCCAGUGUAGAGGUGAAAUUCGUAGAUAUUGGGAAGAACACCAGUGGCGAAGGCGGCUCUCUGGUCCGGCCCUGACACUGAGACGCGAAGGCGUGGGGAGCGAACGGG
rnacentral:rRNA from 1 species